AUACGUAGGGGGCGAGCGUUGUCCGGAAUGAUUGGGCGUAAAGGGCGCGUAGGCGGCCCGGUAAGUCUGGAGUGAAAGUCCUGUUUUUAAGAUGGGAAUUGCUUUGGAUACUGUCGGGCUUGAGUGCAGGAGAGGUAAGUGGAAUUCCCAGUGUAGCGGUGAAAUGCGUAGAGAUUGGGAGGAACACCAGUGGCGAAGGCGACUUACUGGACUGUAACUGACGCUGAGGCGCGAAAGUGUGGGGAGCAAACAGGAUUAGAUACCCUGGUAGUCCACACUGUAAACGAUGAAUGCUAGGUGUAGGGGGUAUCGACCCCUUCUGUGCCGCAGUCAACACAAUAAGCAUUCCGCCUGGGGAGUACGGCCGCAAGGUUGAAACUCAAAUGAAUUGACGG
rnacentral:rRNA from 1 species